GUGAACUGUGGUGCUCCAGCACACAACCAGUAAACAACAACUCUGUUACGAGGCAGAUGAUGCUCUGUAGGAGAGGAUUGGUUUCAAAGUGCUCUACUAGCAGGAUUGACUGGCUGAUUUCAAGAAGUUGGGCUUUGAAUGUACCCCAUCCCUGCCCAGACUCAUAUUGAGAAGGAACUCCCAUCCCUACCCUUGCAUGACCCAGGCCCUGAAUCAACGUUAGAAGCUAUUGGGAGUGAGGAGAUAUUACACUCCACUAUUCCCCUUCUCCCUCGAGCAGGUGUUGCUGCUCCUCUGGACCCCACUGUGAAAAGCUUGAUGCAAAGACCAGCUCAUCCCACAAAGUUUGGAGAAGGCAGCAGUAAAAAUGGUUAGGAGUUGAUCACCAAGAUGGUACAAAAAUUAACCAAUUAAUUGUACCAUAAAGUAUUGCUACUUUUUAUUUACUCUGAAACUUCUCCAGAGACUCCAGUCUGAGCUUUUCCCUGAAAAAGAAACUAGCCCAUACAUUGACUUUCCAUACAUGAACUUUCAGAUGACAAGUAGAUAAAACCUGGUUGUUUUGGCUCAGACCAAGGAUCCAUCUGGCUCAGUAUCAGAAGACAGAGGUU